rnacentral:lncRNA from 1 species
AUGAGUCGAUUUUGCAUUUCUCAGAUGGAUCAGUUAACUGAAUUAGCGGAAUCAGCUCUAGAAGAAACAGGUGCCGAUAGUAAUGCUGAAGGCAUCUCCGCUGAAUCCUUGCUAGCAUUAAGUAGUGAACAAGGAGCGGAAGAUUCCGGCGUUGAGGGUGAAAAUUCCAUCGACUCCACUGCCCAAGAAGCUUUAUUAGCAGAGCUGGAGCAAAAAGAUACUGCAGCACAUGUUGAAGGUGAAGAAGAAGAGGAAUCUGAAAUGCAACUUAAAAUGGAAGAAGAGGGUGAUGAGUUUUUGAGUGAAAGAGAUGCUGAUGUUGAUGCAGAUACUGCUGAUUCAAACGUCUCUCAGUUUGGGGGAACCACAGGUGAUGAAAACACUGCAGAUUACAGUGAGUCAACUGAAGUUUGUCCUGAGGAACAAGGUGACGAAAUCAGUCAAGACCCAGUCGAUGAAUUAAAACUAGCAGAGGCCGAAGCACAAGGUGUCCUUGAUGAACUCAGUCAGGAAGAACUGGGAGCCACAUCAAAUGAACCAUCAAACGCUGAAGAGUUAUCACAGUCAGAACUUUUUGCAUCAGGUUUAGGCGAGACAAAUGAAACGACAAUGGAAGCAAGCGAGGUAGGUUCAGGCGAUGCCCCUGCUGCAGAAACUCCCACAGAAGAAGAAAGUGACAACAAAACUGGUCAGCAAGAUGACAAUGACGCGAUAAUUGUUAGUUUAUCCGAUUUGUUGGAUGCAAAACAAGGAGGAACAGCAUCGGAAGAAGGCAAUGAAAGUGAGAGAAUUACGUUAAAUCAAGACGAUCUGAAUGAAGAUGCUAAGGACGCCGAUCACUCUGAAGAACUAGCGCUUUUAGCAGCAAUCAAAGAGGAAGCAGAGGCGGCACUCUCAAACGAUGAAGUGAAACCUGUACUGAAAGAAGAGCCGCCAGAAGUGGUGCAGAAGAAUUCUGGUCAGGGAAAUGAAGACAAGUCAGCUAUCGGCGAAGACUCUUCAACUCUGAACAAAGUUCAAGGGACAGGACAGGAUCAACCGGAAUUCUUCGACAAGCCCGUCUUCUAUGAUAAACCAGAAAUCAAGUCAAGUAAACUGGAUGACACAGGAAUCGCGACAGAUGCCCUGGCAACAUUGGCAUCAGCAGCCUUGGGGUGUGAAGCUCGCUCUAAUGGAAUCAAUAAAUCUGAGCCUGCAGUAAGUUUUAUACCUCUUGAACUAUUAUUUGUAGAUGUUUCACUUAAGUUGGUGUAA